rnacentral:lncRNA from 10 species
AAAAACAGAAGUGACCCCUGGAUUCUGUUGGGAAGCACCAUACUGGUGUCCGGCUCCACCUUGUUCGUGGUCCCCCAUAGGAGGGCACCUGGCCCAAAGCCACCUGCAGCUUUAAAGACAUUGUGUAACCUAAGAAACCUCCUGGGAUGUGCUGCUAGGAAAGUCAUCUGCAAACACACACCAGGUGAGAUCGCACCACUGCAAUCCAGCCUAGGUGACAAAGCAAGGCUCCGUCUCAAAAAAAAAAAAAAACAAAACAAAAACCAAAAAAACCCAAAUUGGCUGUACCAUCUGCAUUUCCACCAGUAAUGUAAGAAAUUCCCAGUUGCUCCACACCCAGCCCCACACUUGAUACAAUUCAAUGAGUUUUGUCACAUGCAUGUACCUGUGGGACCAAUGAAGACACAGAACACACCCAUCACCCCCAGAAAUUUCCCCCAACCCCCUUUCAGGUAACAUGUCAUGGCCAGAGGGGAAAUGUUCUCUCCCAGUCUGUGGCCUGUAUUACCAUUUUCCUAGCAAUGUUUUUUGGUGAUGUCCAAUUCACCAAUAAUUCCUUUUUUUUUUUCCUUUUGAGACGGAGUCUUGCUCUGUCACCCAGGCUGGAGUGCAGUGGUGUGAUCUCGGCUCACUGCAACCUCUGCCUCCCAGGUUCAAGCGAUUCUCCUGUCUCAGCCUCCUGAGUAGCUGGGACUACAGGUGUGCGCCACCACGCCC